UACUUUCGUGGCCUCUGGGAGUGUGU
rnacentral:piRNA from 1 species